rnacentral:rRNA from 1 species
UACGUAGGGGGCAAGCGUUUGUCCGGAUUUAUUGGGCGUAAAGAGCGUGUAGGCGGCCAGGUAGGUCAGCUGUGAAAACUCGAGGCUCAACCUCGAGACGCCGGUUGAAACCAUCUGGCUAGAGUCCGGAAGAGGAGAGUGGAAUUCCUGGUGUAGCGGUGAAAUGCGCAGAUAUCAGGAAGAACACCCGUGGCUAAGGCGGCUCUCUAGUACGGUACUGACGCUGAGACGCGAAAGCGUGGGGAGCGAACAGG